rnacentral:lncRNA from 1 species
AGGAGCUCUGCCUGGAGGGUCUCUGGCCCCCUCCCAGUCCACAGUGCCCUUAGGGGAGGGAAGGGUGAUGGGCCUUGCAUCCCUCAGUGGGCUGCUUUUGAUUUCACAAAUGGGCUUCUGCCCUGUGGAGCCCAGUCUAUCCCCUGCCUCCCCUCCCUGUCGUGCCUUGGUUUGGACCCUCCUCUCCGCUGGCCUCAACUCUUAGAACACCCUGUCACCCUUCCAUCCACCCUCCACCCGAGUGGAGUGCCAGGGAGACCGUGGCA